GAACUUAGGGUUUCCAUAUCGGCGGUGGUGAUACCAGCAUAUCGAUCAUUCUUAGGUAGAUUUUCGCAGUAUUUGGACCCUGGAAGACAAUAUGAGAAGUACAUAAAAUACCAGCCUGAAGAUAUAGAGACUUGCAUCGAAGAGCUUUUUGAUGGAAAGAAGAGACCAUAAUAACCAAUAACCAUGCAUGCGUGAAUAGAGUUUUAAAGCAAUGAAAAUGAUCAGUUCAAGCCUCAUUGGUACUGCAAAUUA
rnacentral:misc_RNA from 1 species